GACGGAGGGUGCAAGCGUUGCUCGGACUCACUGGGCGUAAAGGGCACGUAGGCGGCUUGGUAAGUCUGAUGUGAAAGCCCACGACUCAAUCGUGGAAGUGCAUUGGAUACUGCUUAGCUAGAGUGCAGGAGGGGUAAGCGGAAUUCCAGGUGUAGAGGUGAAAUUCGUAGAUAUCUGGAGGAACAACGGUGGCGAAGGCGGCUUACUGGACUGUUACUGACGCUGAGGUGCGAAAGUGUGGGGAGCGAACAGG
rnacentral:rRNA from 1 species